CUGCUCAGUGAGCUCCGCCGACAGCCAGCCCUGCUCCUCCCGCCAUGACCCUGCAGACCCCUCUGGGCUUCCAAGUUCCUGGGGGCUGCAGUGAACAUGCUCCACCUGUAUGGCUGGCAAACCACGCAGCGUAGAAAGAUGGGGCACCCACCAGACUCUCCCAGUGCCCCGGCCCCAGCUGGCACCACAGCUAUACCUGGGCUUAUUCCAGACCUUGUCGCCGGGACCCCCUGGCCCCGCUGGGCUCUCAUUGCCGGCGCCCUUGCCGCGGGCAUCCUCCUCGUCUCCUGCCUCCUCUGUGCUGCCUGCUGCUGCUGCCGCCACCACAGGAAGAAGCCCAGGGACAAGGAGGCCGUGGGUCUGGGCAGUGCCCGUGGCACCACCACCACCCACCUGGUGCAACCUGAUGUGGAUGGCCUGGAGUCCAGCCCGGGGGGUGCUCAGCAAUGGGGGCGCCUGCAGCUCUCCCUGGAGUACGACUUUGGAAGCCAGGAGGUGAAGAGCCCUGCUGUGCAGGACCAGCGGUUCUGCGAGUUUCCGGAAAGGGUGACGGGGGAAGGGCAGACCCCGUGCCCUGGGUGGUGGGGAGCUGACAGGGCAGGGGCCCUUGGCUGAGCCCACCCCCCUGGCUCCCAGAUCAGGGUGGGCCUGAGGCAGGCAGCCGACCUGAGGCCUGGGGGCACCGUGGACCCCUAUGCCCGGGUCAGCGUCUCCACCCGGGCCGGACACAGACAUGAGACAAAAGUGCACCGAGGCACGCUCUGCCCCGUGUUUGACGAGACCUGCUGCUUCCACGUGAGUCAGGGAUGGUCGGCUGGGUGGGCCUGGACGGCUGGAUGGGCCUGGGCUGGGUGGGCCUGGGCAGCUGGGUGGGCCUGAGCUAGGGCAGCAGGGCCUGGCUCACGCCGCUGCCUCAGAUCCCGCAGGCGGAACUGCCAGGGGCCACCCUGCAGGUGCAGCUUUUCAACUUCAAGCGCUUCUCGGGGCAUGAGCCCCUGGGUGAGCUCCGCCUGCCACUGGGCACCGUGGAUCUGCAGCAUGUUCUGGAGCACUGGUACCCGCUGGGCCCGCCGGCUGCCACUGAGCCCGAGCAGGUCGGGGAGCUGUGCUUCUCUCUCCGGUACGUGCCCAGCUCAGGCCGGCUGACCGUGGUGGUGCUGGAGGCUCGAGGCCUGCGUCCAGGACUGGCAGAGCCCUACGUGAAGGUCCAGCUCAUGCUGAACCAGAGGAAGUGGAAGAAGAGAAAGACAGCCACCAAAAAGGGCACGGCGGCCCCCUACUUCAAUGAGGCCUUCACCUUCCUGGUGCCCUUCAGCCAGGUCCAGAAUGUGGACCUGGUGCUGGCCGUCUGGGACCGCAGCCUGCCGCUCCAAACUGAGCCCGUAGGCAAGGUGCACCUGGGUGCCCGGGCCUCGGGGCAGCCCCUGCAGCACUGGGCAGACAUGCUGGCCCACGCCCGGCGGCCCGUCGCCCAGUGGCACCCCCUGCGGCCAGCCAGGGAGGUGGACCGCAUGCUGGCCCUGCAGCCCCGCCUUCGCCUGCGCCUGCCCUUGCCCCACUCCUGAAUGCACCACGUGCCUCUCUUUCCCCGCUGAGCCCAGGCACUUGCCCAGGCCGCCCUGCAGGACCACUGCAAUAAACGCCUUCUCCUGCCA
rnacentral:sRNA from 1 species